AGGACGAACGCUGGCGGCGUGCUUAACACAUGCAAGUGGAGCGACGAACCAGGCUUCGGCCUGGGGCAGAGCCGCGAACGGGUGAGUAACACGUGGGUAACCUGCCUCGAUGACCGGGACAACCCGGGGAAACCCGGGCUAAUACCGGAUGUGCUCCUUCACAUCAGUGAGGACAGGAAAGGAAGCUUCGGCCUCCGCAUCGAGAUGGGCCCGCGGCCCAUUAGCUUGUUGGUGAGGUAACGGCUCACCAAGGCUGCGAUGGGUAGCUGGUCUGAGAGGACGAUCAGCCACACUGGGACUGAGACACGGCCCAGACUCCUACGGGAGGCAGCAGUGGGGAAUCUUGCGCAAUGCGCGAAAGCGUGACGCAGCAACGCCGCGUGGGGAAGACGGCUUCGGUUGUAAACCCCUUUCAGGAGGACGAAGGCAGAGCGGUUAAUAGCCGACUCGGUUGACGGUACCUCCAAGAAGAAGCCCCGGACUAACUACGUCGCCAGCAGCCG
rnacentral:rRNA from 1 species